rnacentral:tRNA from 1 species
AGGCCAGUAGCUCCAAUCGGUAGAGCACCGGUCUCCAAAACCGGCUGUUGGGGGUUCGAGUCCCUCCUGGCCUG